GACGAACGCUGGCGGCGUGCCUAAUACAUGCAAGUCGAGCGGAGUUUUUAAAAGCUUGCUUUUAAAAACUCAGCGGCGGACGGGUGAGUAACACGUGGGCAACCUGCCCUGUAGACUGGGAUAACUUCGGGAAACCGAAGCUAAUACCGGAUAAUCAUAGAAGUUGCAUAGCUUCUAUGUAAAAGUUGGGUUUACCUAACACUACAGGAUGGGCCCGCGUCGCAUUAGCUAGUUGGUAAGGUAACGGCUUACCAAGGCGACGAUGCGUAGCCGACCUGAGAGGGUGAUCGGCCACACUGGGACUGAGACACGGCCCAGACUCCUACGGGAGGCAGCAGUAGGGAAUCUUCCGCAAUGGACGAAAGUCUGACGGAGCAACGCCGCGUGAGCGAUGAAGGCCUUCGGGUCGUAAAGCUCUGUUG
rnacentral:rRNA from 1 species